rnacentral:rRNA from 1 species
GACGAACGCUGGCGGCGUGCUUAACACAUGCAAGUCGAACGAUGAAGCCCUGCUUGUGGGGGGUGAGCGAGGCGCGAGCGGGAGUGAAACGUGAGUAACCCCCGCUCUACACUGGGAUAUACAUUCGAAACGGUGGGUAUAAUACGGGAUGAGCGCUCCCCGCGCGUGGUGGGGGUGGGAAAGUUUGGCGGUUGUGGAUGGACUCGCGGCCUAUCAGCCUGGUGGUGGGGUAAUGGCUUACCAAGGCGAUGACGGGUAGCCGGCCUGAGAGGGUGACCGGCCACACUGGGACUGAGAUACGGCCCAGACUCCUACGGGAGGCAGCAGUGGGGAAUAUUGCACAAUGGGCGGAAGCCUGAUGCAGCAACGCCGCGUGCGGGAUGACGGCCUUCGGGUUGUAAACCGCUUUUGCUUGGGAAGAAGCGUAAGUGACGGUAACUGGAAAAGAAGCACCGGCUAACUACGUG